GUGAAAUUGUUGAAAGGGAAAACGAUUGAAGUCAGUCAUACCAACGGGAAAUCAACCUCUUGAGCUCGGUCUCGUGGGUUUUGAAGAGUUUCAAAGCCUUCGGAUUCGCGGGAUUGGGAUCUCCUGGCGUACGUUUUUCGUACGGUUAGUCAACAUCGGUUUUGAUCGUCAUAAAAUGAUCGGAGGAAUGUGGCUCUGAUUUCGGUUGGAGUGUUAUAGCCUUUGGUAGAUGUGACGAUUGGGAUCGAGGAUUGCAACGAAUACCCUUUGGGCUAUCCGUCUGACCUCUGAAAGUCGCUCGGGUGUUGAAAGCUUGCUUAUAACAUUCUAGUUGGCGGUCAAAAGGUUAGAACGUGAUUACAUUCGUUAAGGAUGUUGACGUAAUGGCUUUAAACGAC
rnacentral:rRNA from 1 species